rnacentral:rRNA from 1 species
AUGAUGGACGAAGAAGAGGAGAAAGAGGGUUUGUCUGAUGGCAUGGAGUGUGAGGAGGAGAUGGAAGAGAGCUUGCCGGAGGCGGGGGAUCUACGUGUUUUGCCAGAAGAUCAGCCGGUCAUUACAUCUCGUCAGUCAGUCAAGCGUGUUGUAGAUGCAGUUAGCAAAUUUGAUGAAUACAAGAGAUGGCUCGUAUCUGAGAUUGGAUUUGGUGGAAUCCUGAAGUUGCCGAUGAUUACAAGGAUGGAUCUGAAAAUGAGUGUUUGGGUCAUGAGGAAGGUAAAUGCUCGGUGUCGUGUAAUUGAAAUAGAUGAUGACAAGAAGAUUGCUUUCACAGUCGAAGAUUUCCACAAGGUAUUCGACAUCCCGUGUGGGAACCGAGACGUGAGUGGCAGGGAUGCACAAAUUGCUGCUCCGGCAAUCCAGUUCAUAAAGCGUACAAUUGGUAUGGAUGGUUCAGUUGCUCAGAAUUUGAAAGCGGUUGAAAGCUUUAUAAACAGAGAGCUUUCUGAGGACUCUAGUAAGAUGGAGAAGGAUUGCUUUCAGAUUGCAUUUAUAAUUUUUGUGAUGGGUUACCUGAUAGCACCGUGCACGAAGUAUGACUCGAUGACAAUUGAUUUCUGGGGUGCUCUAGCUAACCCGGAGUUGAUUGCACAAUUCAAUUGGUGUGAGUAUGGUAUCCAGAAGCUUCUGGCAGCUGUAUCGAAGGUGCAGAGUGAUUAUCAAAGCAAAGCAGCCACGGUCCAUCUGUUUGCCUGCCACUUCUUCUUCCAGAUGUGCAAGUUGCGCCCGGCGGACCAAGUUUGCUAUACGCGGUCGGAUGUGAGGAGCCAAGGCUUCAUUGAUGCCGAUGUAACGUCAGCCUCAGGGAGAUACCCAAAUGUUGAGGUGUCUGUCAGGAUGAAACAGCGGACUCCGGAAUUGGUUGUACCUGCAACAACGACACGAGCAGACUCACUAGGUGAUGCGAGGUCGGCGUAUCAUUCUCUUGGUCCGAGGGAUUUUGCAAAUCAUCUUCGACGGACUUGCCACGGUGAUCCGGUUCUCGAGGAGCUGAGCCUGAUGCUGAAACAACAGAAUGCAAAGUGCACGCUGAGCAUGUCGUUGCUGCGGAAUAGGAUGCAGGCCGACAUGCUUAGUUUUGCUGAUAGAAUUGUAUCACUUGUUCGGGAUCGAUGCAGAUGUUGUGAGAAGCGCGGCAGGUCAAAGUGUAUUUCUUUGAAUUGGUCCGACAAGUCAUCCGAAGAUGCGCAGGGUAUAGAGCAGAAGGCGUUAUGGACGGUUGCUCGUCGUCUCGAGAUGUCUGAUGAGGAAGAUCUGAAGAUGGGCUCACCAGAGCACCUAGACGCGGCACCUGUGUAUGAUAAUCCAGUGGUUGACAACCAAGUCAUGGAAGAAAGGAACCCAACACUAGAUAUAAUUGGACUUUAUGCGCAGGUAAUUGUUGAUACGGUUUGUAGUCUGUAUGACACUGCUGAAGAAGAGCCGAAUGUAGUCUAUUUUGGGAAUAUGGAAGCGACGUUGCCCAAAAGGAAGUAUGCGAUGUCUGCAAGUUUUACACGCAGCCCAUGGCUAAGUGGGUGUCUACCACAGCCUCCGCCAAUCUCUUUGGUGAACAAGUUCAGCACGUGGAUUUCCAGGGACAAUGAUUCUGACCUCGACAGUCUCUGGUUUGAGCACAAAUUCCCGCGGAUGCUACGUGUAAAUGCCGCAUGUGUGAAGCAGCAAUUUUUCGGGGCUCAUCCACUUGAGCACGAGGUAGCUGUGCUUGCACUAAGGAGGUUUAAUCAGCUUGAUGUCGAAGCCCAAGCUGUGUCCAAGUAUCUUUUGUGGAGGGAAGUUCUUGAACCGGAUUUCUCGACACAUGCUCUUGCCGGGGAAAAGGUUGCACAUAUCAAGGCGGUGCAGUUGCAAAUUGCACAUGCGCACCAUGACAUAACUGCAUGCCAGACGUUCUAUACCCCAGUCAUUCUUGAUCAUGGAUGGGCAGCAUAUAUGUGGGACAUGAUCAGGAAGGAGAUUCAAAUUCUUGAUCCGUUGUGUGCUCAGCCUGUGGGAGCAGAAAAGCGGCAUGCGACGCACCAGGAGGCUGUGUCUCAGAUACAUGAAGCAUUGUUCAGUUGUCUCAAUGAGUUCUUUGCAAGAUGGCAUUGUACAUCAGAUAGAUGGAAGCGCAAGUCCCCAAAGAUAACACGUGAGGUUUUCACAGGAUGA